CCUACGGGAGACAGCAGUGGGGGAUAUUGCACAAUGGGGGGAACCCUGAUGCAGCGACGCCGCGUGGGUGAAGAAGCGCCUCGGCGCGUAAAGCCCUGUCAGCAGGGAAGAAAAUGACGGUACCUGAAGAAGAAGCCCCGGCUAACUACGUGCCAGCAGCCGCGGUAAUACGUAGGGGGCAAGCGUUAUCCGGAUUUACUGGGUGUAAAGGGGGCGCAGACGGCGAUGCAAGCCAGGAGUGAGAGCCCGGGGCCCAACCCCGGGACGGCUCUUGGAACUGCGUGGCUGGAGUGCAGGAGGGGCAGGCGGAAUUCCUGGUGUAGCGGUGGAAUGCGUAGAUAUCAGGAGGAACACCGGUGGCGAAGGCGGCCUGCUGGACUGCAACUGACGUUGAGGCCCGAAGGCGUGGGGAGCAAACAGGAUUAGAUACCCCGGUGGUC
rnacentral:rRNA from 1 species